UACGUAGGGGGCAAGCGUUGUCCGGAUUUAUUGGGCGUAAAGCGCUCGCAGGUGGUUCGAUGCGUCGUGCGUGAAAGCCCCCGGCUCAACUGGGGAGGGUCACGCGAUACUGAUCGACUGGAAGGCAGGAGAGGGUAGUGGAAUUCCUGGUGUAGCGGUGAAAUGCGCAGAUAUCAGGAGGAACACCGGUGGCGAAGGCGGCUUGCUGGGCCAGUUCUGACGCUGAGGAGCGAAAGCGUGGGGAGCGAACAGG
rnacentral:rRNA from 1 species